rnacentral:rRNA from 1 species
UAAUACGUAGGGUGCAAGCGUUAAUCGGAAUUACUGGGCGUAAAGCGUGCGCAGGCGGUUUUGUAAGACAGAGGUGAAAUCCCCGGGCUCAACCUGGGAACUGCCUUUGUGACUGCAAGGCUAGAGUACGGCAGAGGGGGGUGGAAUUCCGCGUGUAGCAGUGAAAUGCGUAGAUAUGCGGAGGAACACCGAUGGCGAAGGCAACCCCCUGGGCCUGUACUGACGCUCAUGCACGAAAGCGUGGGGAGCAAACAGGAUUAGAUACCCUGGUAGUCCACGCCCUAAACGAUGUCAACUGGUUGUUGGGUCUUAACUGACUCAGUAACGAAGCUAACGCGUGAAGUUGACCGCCUGGGGAGUACGGCCGCAAGGUUG